AGCGAACGCUGGCGGCGUGCCUAACACAUGCAAGUCGAACGUGAAAGGGAGCAAUCCCAAGUAAAGUGGCGUACGGGUGAGUAACACGUAGGUAAUCUACCCCAGAAUCUGGAAUAAACGGCAGAAAGGCUGGACAAUACUGGAUAGAGCGACGGAAUCCGUAAUUGGGUUUUUCGGGAAAGGGAGCCGGUAAAAAGGCCUUCGUCCGGGGAUGAGCCUGCGUCCCAUCAGCUAGUUGGUGAGGUAAAAGAUUACCAAGGCAAUGACGGGUAGCUGGUCUGAGAGGACAAUCGCCCCCCCUGGAACUGAACCCCGCUCCGGACUCCUCCGGGGGGCAGCGUUGGGGAACCUUCCGCAUUGGCCGAAAUCCUAACGCGGCACCGCCGCGUGGGUGAAGAAGGCCUCGGGUUGUAAAGCUCUGUCGUGUGGGACGAAAAUGCUUGGAGUUCACAGCUCCAGGCACUGACGGUACCACUAAAGGAAGCACCGGCUAACUCCGUG
rnacentral:rRNA from 1 species